AUACUGGGUAGUUUAUUUAGUUUACUUGCACUAUUCUUUUCUGUUGAUCUGUUUUACUGUGUUGCACUGUUGGAGGAGCCUGUGACCUAAGAUGUUCAUCGUCAUAACUACACUGUAGCUAUGCACGUAUGAUUAAUAAAAGCCUUGAACCUUGAGACAGGUGAGGUAUGUUAAAGUGACAGUAUGAAGUCAGACUGCCAGACACCAUUUUACACCUGGACGGAGCAGGAGGAGGACAACAGGGGUUAAUGGUAUCUCUCUCAGACUGGAGAAGAUGAGUGAUUUAAACGAUUGAGGAAGAGGACGGGUUUCCAGUCCCCAGCUGUCUGUCUUCUGAAGAGUGACCGGUCUAUAAGGGAACCUUCGGAAGUUCAGUAAUGAACCUGGACCUUCAGACACAAAUAACGACCCCAUCUCUGGAGUUGGCGUUCUCUACUCUGGUUUACAUGAAGAAC